rnacentral:tRNA from 1 species
UCUACCAAAGGAAAAUAGA